rnacentral:tRNA from 1 species
CGGAGAGUAGCGCAGAUGGUAGCGCGCGUCGUUCGGGACGACGAGGUCGCAGGUUCGAGUCCUGUCUCUCCGA